rnacentral:rRNA from 1 species
CUGGAGGUAUCAGAAGUGCGAAUGCUGACAUAAGUAACGAUAAAGCGGGUGAAAAGCCCGCUCGCCGGAAGACCAAGGGUUCCUGUCCAACGUUAAUCGGGGCAGGGUGAGUCGACCCCUAAGGCGAGGCCGAAAGGCGUAGUCGAUGGGAAACGGGUUAAUAUUCCCGUACUUGGUGUUACUGCGAAGGGGGGACGGAGAAGGCUAUGUUGGCCGGGCGACGGUUGUCCCGGUUUAAGCGUGUAGGUGUGUGUUCCAGGUAAAUCCGGUUCACUUUAACACUGAGGCGUGACGACGAGGCACUACGGUGCUGAAGCAACAAAUGCCCUGCUUCCAGGAAAAGCCUCUAAGCAUCAGGUAACAUCAAAUCGUACCCCAAACCGACACAGGUGGUCAGGUAGAGAAUACCAAGGCGCUUGAGAGAACUCGGGUGAAGGAACUAGGCAAAAUGGUGCCGUAACUUCGGGAGAAGGCACGCUGACACGUAGGUGAAGUGAUUUACUCACGGAGCUGAAGUCAGU